rnacentral:rRNA from 1 species
GGCGAACGCUGGCGGCGUGCUUAACACAUGCAAGUCGAACGAAGAGCGAUGGAAGCUUGCUUCUAUCAAUCUUAGUGGCGAACGGGUGAGUAACGCGUAAUCAACCUGCCCUUCAGAGGGGGACAACAGUUGGAAACGACUGCUAAUACCGCAUACGAUCUAACCUCGGCAUCGAGGAUAGAUGAAAGGUGGCCUCUACAUGUAAGCUAUCACUGAAGGAGGGGAUUGCGGCUGAUUAGCUAGUUGGAGGGGUAACGGCCCACCAAGGCGAUGGUCAGUAGCCGGUCUGAGAGGAUGGACGGCCACAUUGGGACUGGGACACGGCCCAGACUCCUACGGGAGGCAGCAGUGGGGAAUCUUCCGCAAUGGACGAAAGUCUGACGUAGCAACGCCGCGUGAGUGAUGACGGCCUUCGGGUUGUAAAGCUCUGUUAAUCGGGACGAAAGGCCUUCUUGCGAAUAGUGAGAAGGAUUGACGGUACCGGAAGAGAAAGCCACGGCUAACUACGUG